rnacentral:rRNA from 1 species
AUUGAACGCUGGCGGCAUGCCUUACACAUGCAAGUCGAACGGUAACAGGUCUUCGGAUGCUGACGAGUGGCGAACGGGUGAGUAAUACAUCGGAACGUGCCCGAUCGUGGGGGAUAACGCAGCGAAAGCUGUGCUAAUACCGCAUACGAUCUACGGAUGAAAGCGGGGGAUCGCAAGACCUCGCGCGGACGGAGCGGCCGAUGGCAGAUUAGGUAGUUGGUGGGAUAAAAGCUUACCAAGCCGACGAUCUGUAGCUGGUCUGAGAGGACGACCAGCCACACUGGGACUGAGACACGGCCCAGACUCCUACGGGAGGCAGCAGUGGGGAAUUUUGGACAAUGGGGGAACCCUGAUCCAGCCAUGCCGCGUGCAGGAUGAAGGCCUUCGGGUUGUAAACUGCUUUUGUACGGAACGAAAAGGUACCUUUCUAAUUAAAGAGGGCUCAUGACGGUACCGUAAGAAUAAGCACCGGCUAACUACGUGCCAGCAGCCGCGGU